GGGCCCUUGGGGUGGGGCAGGUGGGGCCCACACCCUCCUCACCCUGGCCACGUGGAGGAGCACAGGGGCUGCAGGCCCAAGCCUGGAUGCCCAGCUCUGACCUGGUCCUGCCCGUCUUCCCCUCAGUCUCCUGUCUGUGAGUGUGGACCUUCGGGUGACAGUGGUGAUGAUCGUCUCGUCUGUGAGUGUGGACCUUGGGGUGACAGUGGUGAUGAUCGUCUCGUCUGUGAGUGUGGACCUUGGGGUGACAGUGGUGAUGAUCGUCUCGUCUGUGAGUGUGGACCUUGGGGUGACAGUGGUGAUGAUCGUCUCGUCUGUGAGUGUGGACCUUGGGGUGACAGUGGUGAUGAUCGUCUCGUCUGUGAGUGUGGACCUUGGGGUGACAGUGGUGAUGAUCGUCUCGUCUGUGAGUGUGGACCUUGGGGUGACAGUGGUGAUGAUCGUCUCGUCUGUGAGUGUGGACCUUGGGGUGACAGUGGUGAUGAUCACAGUCAGCUUUGCUCUGGGCCAUUCACUAAAGGCUUCCCCGUCCUCAGAGCAGCCCGGAGCAGGAGGUCAAACACCCAAAUACCCACUCUGCAGAUGCAGUAGCUGAGGCCAAGAGGCAUUUGAGGAGUGCUGCUCCAGAGAGCAUUGCCACCGAGGUCCCACCCCUGUCUGGCUUGGGAGCUGGGAGUGCACAGCCUAGAGACAAGGCCCCCUCUGACCGAAUCCCCUGGAGAAGUAGGGCCAUUAACACCCUGCAGGUUGCGUCGCAUUACGCCAGAGGAGUCCAAACUGUCCAUCAGAAAGUCUGCGUGAUGUGAGCUAGUUUUUACGAAGCAAGGAUUUUAAAACAAGCUUAGGAACAGUGGGUGACAGCACCCAGAUUUGAGUGGGGCACAUAAGCCCAUCUCUGUCCCCCACAUGUCCUGCAAAGCCAAGGCCAACCUGCGUGGCCUCAGGCGAAGGGUUCUGGGAAGACCUGGCUUUCAAGCAUCCCUCCUUUCCUUCUGGGAUUUCAGGCCCCAGGGUGAGCUCUUGACUGUCUUGGAGACGACCCCCCGCCCCAAUGCUACUUCCCCGCCUAUAUGUUGCCAGAUGAGAAGCCGAUAUCCUCAGAGAAUAUGAGCAACCAGCCAGGAUAUCGAGACACCUGAAAAGUAUGAUUGUCUCAGAAAACAAUAAUAAAAGUCCAGAAAAUAUGUACGAUUGGAAGCAGAAGUGCAGAAGACAGACUAACACAGUUCAAGACCAGCAAAGGCAACAUAGGGAGACCUCAUCUCUACAAAAAAAUUUAAAAAUUAGCCGGGCGUGGUGGCACGUGCCUGUAGUCCCAGCUACUCGGGAGGCUGAGGCGGGAGAAUCGCUUGAACCUGGGAGGUCAAGGCUGCAGUGAGCCGUGAGCCUGCCGCUGUACUCCAGCCUGGGUGGCAAAGCAAGACCCCAUCUCAUACAAAAAAGAGAAAAUGGAUUCACGGUAUAAAAUAACUGUGACAAAUUUAUGAAGUAAACAUGGUAUUGGUCAUCCAAAACAGGAUUGAUAAAUUAUUUUAAAAACAAAGUGGGAAUAAGCAGAUUAAAAACUAUAAUAGUUGAAAUAACAAAUAUAAUUUAUAAAUGGAUGCAGAUGAAGAGUAAGUUAGUGAGUUGAAAGAUCAGCUUGAAGAACUUUUCCAGAAAGAAGCAUGGAAAGAUAAAUAAAGAAGAAAAUGUUGGGGCCAGGCGCUGUGGCUCACGCCUGUAAUCCGAGCACUUUGGGAGGCCAAGGCAGGUGGAUCACCUGAGGUCAGGAGUUCGAGAUCAGCCUGGCCAACAUAGUGAAACUCCGUCCCUACUAAAAAUACAAAAACUAGCUGGGUGUGGUGGCACAUGCCUGUAAUCCCAGCUACUCGGGAGGCUGAAGCAGGAGAAUCGCUUGAGCCUGGGAGGCAGAGGUUGCAGUGAGGCGAGAUCGAACCACUGAACUCCUGCCUGGGUGAUAGAGUAAGACCCUGUCUCAAAAAAGAAAAAGAAAAUACUGGUGCUAUAGAGGGUAGAAGGUGUGCUAAAGCUGAGAUAAUCGGAGCCCAAGAAGAAGAGAAAAUAAAAAUGUAAAGGAUAAGUGGCAAGGGAGUUAAAUUCCCAGAGUUCCAGAUGAACAGCAGAUUAAAAGGGCCCACAGAACGUCAGACAGGAGCAAAGGGGAAACAGACACCAGAAACAUUAUAGUAAAAUACGAGAAUAUCCUAGACAAACAGAAAAAGUUUUAACUUCCAGAGGGAAAAACCGGUCAUGUACAAAGGAACAAGAAUCAGCUUGACAUCAAACUUCUCAACAGCAAUAUCAGAUGUAAGACAGUGAAUUUUUUUCAAUACUGAAGAGAUCCAUUUGGUUAGGGUGUAGACAGUCACAAAAUACCAGCACUGUCACUGUAAUGUUAAAGGAACAUCAUGAAGCCUAUGAAAUCCUAUCUUUUUACCUAUCAAAGAGUUGAGGAUGCAGAGAAGUUGAGGCUGUUGGCUGCUUUCAUCCUCCAGCCAAAUUUGUCAUGCUGCAGGGAGAAGCACAAUGGAUUGAAAUCAAGAGAAGCCACAGAUGUAGAGAGCAAGUUCUCAGCACCUACCAGGUCUCAUCCACAGGAUCAUUACAAAUGCAUGAGAAGCCAGGGGCUGGUCUGUAAAGCAGAGAGAGAUUUCAUAGUCUCACAAGGAUUAGAUUCCAAGUCCACCUGGAGGGAGAGGCCUGUUCAAAUCCUCAAGCGUUUAAAACCAAUCUUGAGCUGAAACUACUUAAAACUGCUCUAGCCCCCAGCCCAGCUCAACUCCUAAUGAUAUCACAGGUCAGCUACUCAACCUCGCUACCUAGUAGAGAAUAAAGUAUGUUCAUCCUAGUGUGAAAUUUUCUACUUUGGUUUCCACUGUUCUUAUACACACUAUGUCUAAGAAGCAAGAAAUUAUGACACAUAAUCUAAAGAAGAAACAAUCAAUAGAAAAAGACCUUAUGAAUCACCCGUGUUGGAAUUUAGACAAAGACUUUAAAAUUCCAUUAAAAAUUUUCUUUAUGUUAAAGGAAAAGAGAGGCAGAAUGAUUGACAGAAUAGAAAAUUUGAGCAGAGAAAAAAAGUAACAAAAUAGAGAAUCUAGAACUGAAAAUAUAUCCGAAAUGAAUAAAUUGUUUUAUUUGUUAUUUAUUUUUGUAGAAACAGGAUCUCAUGGUGUUGCCCAGGUUGGUCUUGAACUCCUGAGCUCAAGAGAUCCUCCUGCCUCUGCCUCCCAAGCUGCUGGGAUUACAGGCAUGCACCACUGUGCCCAGCUGAAAUGAAUAAAAUGGAUAGGCUUAACAAAAUGGAUACAACAAAA